GAUGAACGCUAGCGGCAGGCCUAACACAUGCAAGUCGAGGGGUAGGGGCUUUCGGGCCUUGAGACCGGCGCACGGGUGCGUAACGCGUAUGCAAUCUGCCUUACACUAAGGGAUAGCCCAGAGAAAUUUGGAUUAAUACCUUAUAGUAUGAUGAUGUGGCAUCACAAUAUCAUUAAAGAUUUAUUGGUGUAAGAUGAGCAUGCGUCCCAUUAGCUAGUUGGUAUGGUAACGGCAUACCAAGGCAAUGAUGGGUAGGGGUCCUGAGAGGGAGAUCCCCCACACUGGUACUGAGACACGGACCAGACUCCUACGGGAGGCAGCAGUGAGGAAUAUUGGACAAUGGGCGCAAGCCUGAUCCAGCCAUGCCGCGUGCAGGAUGACGGUCCUAUGGAUUGUAAACUGCUUUUGUACGGGAAGAAACCUCCCCUUGUAAGGGGAAUUGACGGUACCGUAAGAAUAAGGAUCGGCUAACUCCGUGCCAGCAGCCGCUGUAACAC
rnacentral:rRNA from 1 species